UAACGAGAGCUGGUGGGAGCAUAGUUGGGGCGCGGCGUAGGUGGGUGGCAAAGGGUCAUUACGUAAAAGCACGUGAAGUGGCCCAUCGUCGGCAGUGAAACUGCAAUGUGUCCGGAUGGAAGAGCAAUUGACCCCGGGUAGUUAGAGACAGUGUGGAGGAGGACAAGUGUAUUGAAACAAUCAGCUGUCAUAGAACAUUCAAGAACUGUCUCGCCCUUUCUAUGGCCUUUUUUCAUCGCAGUCCCACUGACUGUAUCUCGGUGCGAAGUUCGUGUCCCGUACAAGGCAAAUUAAAUUGGCCGCAAUUUGCAACAGGAACGCUGCAAAUUGACAUUCGCGUGUCGGCCAAUGUCCAUUCCAAUUUGAGAUAGAGUACAAGCCCUCCAUUACUGCAAA